AAGGGUGCAAUUUUAAGGGACAAUGUAGAAGUGAAUAGCAUAAUUAAGGAUGGGGAGAAAGGCGGGAUAUGGGUUUCUGCUGCUAAUGGUGAAAAGUUUUGGGCUAAAAAAUGCAUCAUUACAGCAGGGGCUUGGGCGAGAAAGCUUGUUAAAAGCGUCAGCGGCCUUGAAUUGCCGAUACAAGCAUUGGAGACUACAUUGUGUUAUUGGAGAAUUAAGGAAGGCCAUGAAUCUGAGUUUGCUAUAGGAAGUGAUUUUCCAAGUUUUUCUAGCUGCGGCAAACAACAUGUAUACGGCACGCCGUCCUUGGAGUUCCCCGGUUUAAUUAAGGUUGCCUCGCACGAUGGCUACCCUUGUGAUCCUGACAAAAGACCAUGGGGACCUGCCAAGUCGUUGAGUUAUUUGAAAGAAUGGAUUGAGAAGAUAUUUUCAGGGCUUGUUGAUCAUGAAAGGCCAGUUGCUAGUCAAUCGUGCUUGUACUCCAUGACCCCAGAUGAAGACUAUGUGAUAGAUUUUCUGGGUGGGGAGUUUGGGAAGGAUGUGGUUAUCGGCGCUGGCUUUUCAGGUCAUGGGUUCAAGAUG
rnacentral:misc_RNA from 1 species